rnacentral:rRNA from 1 species
UCCGACGGUGAGGGGCGAAGGCUGGGGGCGCAAACCGGAUUAGAGACCCGGGUAGUCCCAGCAGUAAACGAUGCCAGCUAUGUGUUGCUGGAACCAUGGGUUCCAGCAGUGCCGAAGGGAAGCCGUGAAGCUGGCCACCUGGGAAGUACGGUCGCAAGGCUGAAACUUAAAGGAAUUGGCGGGGGAGUACCACAACCGGUGGAGCCUGCGGUUUAAUUGGAUACAACGCCGGGAAUCUUACCGGAGGGGACAGCAGUAUGAAGGCCAGGCUAAAGACCUUGCCAGAUCAGCUGAGAGGAGGUGCAUGGCCGUCGCCAGUUCGUACCGUGAGGCAUCCUGUUUAGUCAGGCAACGAUCGAGACCCGCAGUCUUAUUUGCCAGCAUGCCCUUUGGGGUGUAUGGGUACAAUAAGACGACCGCCAGCGCUAAGCUGGAGGAAGGAGCGGGCUACGGUAGGUCAGCAUGCCCCGAAUCCUCCGGGAUACACGCGGGCUACAAUGGUCAGGACAAAAGGUACCGACCUCGAAAGAGUGAGGUAAUCCACAAACCUGAUCUCAGUCCGGAUCGAAGGCUGCAACUCGCCUUCGUGAAGAUGGAAUCGGUAGUAAUCGUGACUCAAAAUGUCACGGUGAAUAUGUCCCUGCUCCUUGCACACACCGGCCGUAAAG